rnacentral:misc_RNA from 1 species
GAUGAAGAACGUAGUGAAAUGCGAUACUUGGUGUGAAUUGCAGAAUCCCGUGAACCAUCGAGUCUUUGAACGCAAGUUGCGCCCGAAGCCUCGGCUAAGGGCACGUCUGCCUGGGCGUCACGCAUCGCGUCUCCCCCAAACCGCCAAGGCGGAGGGGAAGGAAGAUGGCUUCCCGUGCCUCACCCGGCGCGGUUGGCCUAAAUUUGGAGCCCGCGGCACUUAGCUCUCGUGGCGAUAGGUGGUGAACAAGGCCUUGGCCGUGCAAACAACCCGCUGCGAAUCUCUAUCUCACGUGCGCUCGUCGGACCCUUUGAAGUUGCCUUCGGUGACUUAAAACCUUUGCGACCCCAGGUCAGGCGGGGCUACCCGCUGAAUUUAAGCAUAUCAAUAAGCGGAGGA